GUGUUUGUAUCUCCACCAGGUGGUCAGAGAACAUUGACAAGGCAGCACAUAUACGAAAAUUGGAUCGAUACAGAGAAGAUUAGCAUGGCCCCUGCGAAAGGAUGACACGCAAAUCCGUGAAGUGCUCCAUCUUUUG
rnacentral:snRNA from 1 species